rnacentral:rRNA from 1 species
AGAGUUUGAUCCUGGCUCAGGAUUAACGCUAGCGGCGUGCCUAAUACAUGCAAGCCGAACGAGGGACUUUUGUAGCAAUACGAGGGUUUCCUAGUGGCGAAUGGGUGAGUAACGCGUUGGUGACCUGCCCCGAAGUGAUGGAUAACAGUUCGAAAGGACUGCUAAUACCCCAUGUGGUCAGUGGGUUUAGAAGCUGCUGACUAAAGGAGCAAUCCGCUUUGGGAGGGACCUGCGUCCCAUCAGCUAGUUGGUAAGGUAACGGCUUACCAAGGCUACGACGGGUAGGGGGCCUGAGAGGGUGGCCCCCACAUUGGCACUGACACACGGGCCAAACACCUACGGGUGGCAGCAGUAGGGAAUAUUGCACAAUGGGCGAAAGCCUGAUGCAGCAACGCCGCGUGCGCGAUGAAGGCCUUCGGGUCGUAAAGCGCUUUUUGAGGAGAUGAGAAAGGACAGUAUCCUCAGAAUAAGGAUCGGCUAACUACGUGCCAGCAGCCGCGGUAACACGUAGGAUCCAAGCGUUAUCCGAAUUUACUGGGCGUAAAGCGCGUGCAGGCGGUUUGGUAAGUUGGAUGUGAAAGCUCCUGGCUCAACUGGGAGAGGCUGUUCAAAACUACCAGACUAGAGGGCGGUAGGGGGAGGUGGAAUUCCCGGUGUAGUGGUGAAAUGCGUAGAUAUCGGGAGGAACACCAGUGGCGAAAGCGACCUCCUGGACCGUACCUGACGCUCAGACGCGAAAGCUAGGGGAGCGAACGGGAUUAGAGACCCCGGUAGUCCUAGCUGUAAACGAUGCAGACUUGGCGUCGGUGGGGUAAAAGCCAUCGGUGCCGAAGCUAACGUGAUAAGUCUGCCGCCUGAGGACUACGGCCGCAAGGUUAAAACUCAAAGGAAUUGACGGGGCCCCGCACAAGCAGCGGAGCGUGUGGUUUAAUUCGUUGCUACGCGAAGAACCUUACCCGGGUUUGACAUAUAGGUGGUAGGGAGCAGAGAUGUGACCGACCCUUCGGGGAGCCUAUACAGGUGCUGCAUGGCUGUCGUCAGCUCGUGUCGUGAGAUGUCCGGUUAAGUCCGGUAACGAGCGCAACCCUCGCCACGUGUUACAUGUGUCACGUGGGACCGCCGGUAUAAAGCCGGAGGAAGGCGGGGAUGACGUCAAGUCAGCAUGGCCUUUAUAUCCGGGGCUACACACACGCUACAAUGGUCGGUACAAUGGGUUGCAAAGCCGCGAGGUAGAGCCAAUCCCCAAAGCCGGCCUCAGUUCAGAUUGCAGGCUGCAACUCGCCUACAUGAAGUCGGAGUUGCUAGUAACCGCGCGUCAGCAUUAGUGCGGUGAAUACGUUCCCGGGGCUUGUACACACCGCCCGUCACGUCAUGGGAGCUGGUAACACCUGAAGCCGGUGUCCUAACCCGCAAGGGAGGGAGCUGUCGAAGGUGGGACUGGUGACUGGGACGAAGUCGUAACAAGGUA